GAUCCUGGCUCAGGACGAACGCUGGCGGCGUGCCUAAUACAUGCAAGUAGAACGCUAAAGGAGGAGCUUGCUUCUCUGGAUGAGUUGCGAACGGGUGAGUAACGCGUAGGUAACCUGCCUGGUAGCGGGGGAUAACUAUUGGAAACGAUAGCUAAUACCGCAUAAUAGUAGUUGUUGCAUGACAACUGUUUGAAAGGUGCAAUUGCAUCACUACCAGAUGGACCUGCGUUGUA
rnacentral:rRNA from 1 species